UACGUAGGGUGCGAGCGUUAAUCGGAAUUACUGGGCGUAAAGCGUGCGCAGGCGGCUUUGCAAGACAGAUGUGAAAUCCCCGGGCUCAACCUGGGAACUGCAUUUGUGACUGCAAGGCUAGAGUACGGCAGAGGGGGAUGGAAUUCCGCGUGUAGCAGUGAAAUGCGUAGAUAUGCGGAGGAACACCGAUGGCGAAGGCAAUCCCCUGGGCCUGUACUGACGCUCAUGCACGAAAGCGUGGGGAGCAAACGGG
rnacentral:rRNA from 1 species